GAGAGUGUAGCUCACACAAUAAUCUGACACAGGACAGAACAAACGCCAGAAGCAGACAGAGUAAUCAGACAAGACAAGACACAGGUGUAAGCGCUAAGCAGCGAAAGCGCUGAUUGUGAUGAUCAACAGGUGAAGACAGAGCGCAAAUGAGAAAGUGUGUGCGCACUGGAGUGUGAGUGAGAUUAGUGUGUUAAUGAGUGUGGGAAUGCAUGUGUGUGUGCUGCUGUAAGAGAGAGAGAGAGCAGAGAAGCAACCCAGAUCCUAACAAUUUCAGGUGAACCCAGUGGCUUUUGACUAUUCGAGGGUCAAAUGGUUCUGAAUUCAUACUUUGUGGCUGGAUUUGGAGUUGUAUUACGACUUUAGUCUGGUGUCCUGUGAGCAGUCAUCUUUUGCACACUUGAAUUUUUUUCAAAGAUGUUUUGUUGGAAUCACGACACGUACAUAGAGGCAAAACAAGUGGAAAUGUCUCAGAGAAGAGGGACAACCCUCGUGUGUGCUAAUCUCAGAAAGUUGAUGGACUUUCAGUAUUUUAGACGGCCACUGGGACAAGACCACAGGAACCAGAUGAGUUCUCUGCACAA